CAGGUCUUGACAUCCCGAUGUAACACCUAUAGAUAGGUGCCCUCUUCGGAUCAUUGGACACAGGUGGUGCAUGGUUGUCGUCAGCUCGUGUCGUGAGAUGUUGGGUUAAGUCCCGCAACGAGCGCAACCCUUGAUCUUAGUUGCCAGCACUUUGGGUGGGCACUCUAGGAUGACUGCCGGUGACAAACCGGAGGAAGGUGGGGAUGACGUCAAAUCAUCAUGCCCCUUAUGACCUGGGAUACACACUUACUACGAUGGUCGGUACAACGGGAAGCGAAGCCGCGAGGUGGAGCCAAUCCUUAUAAGCCGAUCUCAGUUCGGAUUGCAGGCUGCAACUCCCCUGCAUGAAGUCGAAAUUGCUAUUAAUCUCGGAUCAACAUGCCGCGAAGAAUACGUUCCCGGGUCUUGUACACACCGCCCGACACACCACGAGAGUUUACAACACCCGAAGUCGGUGGGGUAACCCGCAAGGGAGCCAGCCGCCGAAGGUGGGGUAGAUGAUUGGAGUG
rnacentral:rRNA from 1 species